rnacentral:lncRNA from 1 species
UUGGUACCAUGUCAAGCAACUGAUCGCUCUAACAUCAUAUAAAAUAAUAACUAGUUUUUCUUAGAACUUAAAGCUUUCUGCUUUAAUACCAUAUUUAUAACCAAUUAUUUUGAAAGUUUAAACUACUUCUGUAUCUUAUUAAUAUAUAUAUUUAAGAACUAAGCUGGAAUACUACCAAUAGCACUAAGCUAUCGAUGCUAUUAAAUUUUCGGCUGUUGGAUGAAGGAAUGUACGUUUAGGAUGAUAUAAGCCCUCUAGGGUUGAGUAAGUUGUUGGUCGAAUAGUAUAAUCUAAUGGAUGAAAAUAGUCAAAUGGUUAAAUCUAACGGUGGAAAACUUGGUAGCACCAAGCGCUUGGUUCUAUUGAUAGUAUUCCAGCCGAACACUAUAUUUAAUAAGAUAAAUUUA